rnacentral:lncRNA from 1 species
UGUCCAGUUUCAAUGGUAAAUAAUCAAAAGACAACAUUGAAUAUGGAAGCUUUGAUUGUCUCUUCACUGGUAAAUCUGUUUGUGCCAACUAGAGGCAGCUACACCCGACAUUACUAUCCUAUGAUCGCCUAAUACCAAAAGUAUACACGGUUGACUGCAUGACCAUGUGCCCAGAGCGAGGCAUCAAAUGACUUUUGGACCUUUGGACAUGCCAGGGAGAAGAACCAAGCAUCCCGUACGCCGCCAACGACCUCGAAAGUGAAGAAACCAUACCCAGUGGAUAUUGAAUUGAGAUUGCCACGUCAAUCAUGUACAUCUUUCGAUUACAGUAGGCACAUAUUCACAGGAAUUCAAUAGCCUCCCACCCACAGCCCCGAGACUCUAGUUUUGGUAAUGCUUCAAACUUC